AGGGGUUUAGCUCAGUGGUAUAAGCACCUGCCUUGAAAGCAGGCAGUCGUGAGUUCGAUCCCCGAUACCCAUA
rnacentral:tRNA from 1 species